CAGGUUGUGUAGAAACGGACCGCGUUUUCAUCAAAUGGACCCCUGAAACAAACAUAUCACUUUCCUUAAGAUGCUCCUAUAAACCUCACGACAGACCUGAGAAUAUGACAUGUGACAUCACCUGCAGAAACAACACUCAAAGACCUUGACACCUCUCUGAAAAAAAAACAGAAACAG